GUGCCAGCAGCCGCGGUAAUACGUAGGUGGCAAGCGUUAUCCGGAAUUAUUGGGCGUAAAGCGCGCGUAGGCGGUUUUUUAAGUCUGAUGUGAAAGCCCACGGCUCAACCGUGGAGGGUCAUUGGAAACUGGAAAACUUGAGUGCAGAAGAGGAAAGUGGAAUUCCAUGUGUAGCGGUGGGAUGCACAGAGAUAUGGAG
rnacentral:rRNA from 1 species